GAUGAACGCUGGCGGCGUGCCUAAUACAUGCGAGUCGAGCGAACCACUUCGGUGGUGAGCGGCGAACGGGUGAGUAACACGUAGGUGAUCUGCCCAUCAGACGGGGACAACGAUUGGAAACGAUCGCUAAUACCGGAUAGGAAGAAAGGUUAAAGGUGCUUCCGGCACCGCUGAUGGAUGAGCCUGCGGCGCAUUAGCUAGGUGGUAGGGUAAAGGCCUACCAAGGCGGCGAGGCGUAGCCGACCUGAGAGGGUGAACGGCCACACUGGGACAGAGACAGGGCCCAGACUCCUACGGGAGGCAGCAGUAGGGAAUCUUCGGCAAUGGGCGAAAGCCUGACCGAGCAACGCCGCGUGAAUGAUGAAGGCCUUCGGGUUGUAAAAUUCUGUUAUAAGGGAAGAACGACUUUAGUAGGAAAUGGCUAGAGUGUGACGGUACCUUAUGAGAAAGCCACGGCUAACUACGUGCCAGCCGCCGCAGUAA
rnacentral:rRNA from 1 species